rnacentral:sRNA from 1 species
AAAAGUUUACUGAGUUCCAUGAUUCCUGAGGCCUCAGGACAGUGAACUAUGUUAGAUCCGGACGUUUCUGCAGAGGCUCUGCCAAUCCUAUAAGACAGAUGCAUAGAAACAGUUUCUAUGGAAACACACACGCCUCUUGUAACUGUAAUACUGAAGUCUAUGCUGCCUGUCAACACAAACACCAGAGCAGAGGCAGGUUCUCAGUCUCCAAGUGAUGACUGACUCAGACGGACAGCAAUCCAAGAACUCAGCAGUUUCACACUCUAAGAAGUGGGCCACUGUAUGUUGUAUAUCCAGGCAGUACAUUACGGAGGGUGGCAUGGACAGGACAGAACACAGGACAAAGCUAAUGUUGAAUGAUGCAAGCUGAGCGUGCCCUGACGAGGCGAGGUGUUCCUGUCCUACAGUUUAACCUUUCAAACAUGUGAUCCCUGACUGCAAGCUAAGCAUUCCCAAAAAACGUGUCAUCUUCCUAGAUCAGGAUCUUCAACUGGGCAUGCUCAGGGGUAUCCCCAGUCCAGAGGGAGGGAUUGUCUCCCUGAAUAGGAACAAAAUCCCUGCAGUUCUCCCUUCGGGAAGGACAUUGCUUUGGAAAUAACUCCUGUGCUCUCCUCACCCAUGGCAGUAAAUCUUCCUGCGUUCAUUGAAGCCUUUGUGUUUCUUUUGAUUUUGGACUCACCAAGAUAUGAACCCAUUACAUCCAGUUCCUGUAUGUGCUACAAAAUAAUUCCAGCAGAGAGCGGAAGCUGUUAGAGGAUCUUACUAUGAAGCCCUUGGCUACCCUGAAACUUGUGUUGCAGACCAGGAUGGCCUGG